CAAGACCUCGGGACGCAGCAGUGAGGAAUAUUGGUCAAUGGGAGAGAUCCUGAACCAGCCAAGCCGCGUGAGGGAAGACGGCCCUAUGGGUUGUAAACCUCUUUUGUCGGAGAACAAAACCCGGGACGUGUCCCGGACUGCGUGUAUCCGAAGAAAAAGCAUCGGCUAACUCCGUGCCAGCAGCCGCGGUAAUACGGAGGAUGCGAGCGUUAUCCGGAUUUAUUGGGUUUAAAGGGUGGGUAGGCGGUCCGUUAAGUCAGCGGUAAAAUUGCGGGGCUCAACUCCGUCGAGCCGUUGAAACUGGC
rnacentral:rRNA from 1 species